GGUUGCAAGUUUAUGGCCAUAGCAGAAGCAUUCAUGGCACAGCCCUGUCAAAUUCCAGGGAAUCUGUGAAUUCUGCU
rnacentral:ribozyme from 1 species